CUCUUUUGUGGUGGAGAUGAGCUGUUCAACAAAUUUACAUUCUUCCCCAUUCUUUUUCAAUCAAAUUGACCCAGAGUUUUCAGCUGCGCUUACUGCCACGUGGCUGGAAGACGGACCAUAUUUCCUGACCCUAUUGCUGCUGGGUGUGACCAGGUGUAUUAGUUUUCUGUGGCUGCUGUAGCAAAUCAGCACAAACGUAGCAGUUUAGAACAAUGCAUACUUAUCUCAGGGUUCUGUAGGCCGGAGGUCUGGGUUAGCCUGGCUGGUUUCUCUGCUCUGGGUUCCACAAAGCCAAAAUCAGGGUGCCAGCUGGGCUCUUAGUGGAAGGCUCUGGGAAGAACUGAGUUCCACUGUCAUUCAGGUUGUUGGCUGUAGCAGAGACCUGUUUCCUUGUGGCUGUCAGCUGCAGGCUGCCCUCUCGCUGCUCCUUGCUGUGGGUCCCUGCACCUUGGGGUCAGCAAAGCUGACUGUGUCGGAGGGAAUUUGGCCAACUUCCCUGGAAGGAUGGGUUGCUCUCUUUUGCCUCCAGCUGCAGAAAGUUCUCCACUUUUAAAGGCUCAUGUGAUUAGUUUGCCCAUCUGAAUAAUCUGGGAUAAUCUCGCUAUUUUAAUGUCUGCAACCUUAAUUACAUUUAUGAAGUCCAGUUUGCCGUGUAAUUUAACACAUUACAAAUUCCAGGGGUCGGGGCGGACAUUUUUGGGGAGCCAUUCUGUCAACUGCAACCAGUGAUUAUGGAAUUCUAGCUAGUGAGUGGAACUGGAGGUGCCACGUAGGACCCCGGGAGGCUCGCUUGAAGAGGAGAGGCCUUUGUUCCCUCUGUCCUCAUCCUGCCGAGACUGCUGGACCAGCCUCCUUGAAACAGGAGGCAAGGACCACGCCCUCGGGAUGGUGGACGGGGAGCUGGAAGGAGUUGGACUCCUUUGGAAGGAAUUGUCAAUACAAAGACAAUAAAGUAAUAUCGUGGGAAAGAAAAUCUUCCUAAAGAAUAUUAUACACAGUCCAAGUUGUCAUGUAUGUGUAAAAGCAACUGGCAGUCCUAAACAGGAAAAACUCGAGGAGCAGAGGAUUUAGAAACCUUCUGGAAAACGGAAAUACUGAUGGAUUCCAGCAACCGGGGCGAGUGAAGGAAGUCGUGGUUACUAGUGCAAAGCUCAGGGAAGCAACGGUAAGGAAAGUUGUGAUGGAGAAUGUUAGCCAGACCGAAGAAUUUUACACCAAGUCAAGCUAUCUUCUGAGGAAAGAGGCAAGAGGCACAUCUCAGGCAGACACAAAGGAUAUAGCACACUUGAGCUCUUGAAAAAAUUUACUUGAUGAUGAAAUCUAGACAGCUAAGAUGUGGAUUAAAACAAAGGACACACUUAAAGAAGGGGUAAUUUAAAACGAAAGACUACGUCACAAUAACAACAAAGCAACAAAACUGGGGAGAUGCUUGAGCUCCUUUAAAUAUAGAACGC
rnacentral:lncRNA from 1 species